UACGGGGGGGGCAAGCGUUGUUCGAAAUUACUGGGCGUAAAGGGCUCGUAGGUGGCCAACUAAGUCAGACGUGAAAUCCCCAGGCUCAACUUGGGAACUGCGUCUGAUACUGGAUGGCUUGAAUUCGGGAGAGGGAUGCAGAAUUCCAGGUGUAGCGGUGAAAUGCGUAGAUAUCUGGAGGAAUACCGGUGGCGAAGGCGGCAUCCUGGACCGAUAUUGACACUGAGGAGCGAAAGCCAGGGGAGCAAACGGG
rnacentral:rRNA from 1 species